rnacentral:SRP_RNA from 1 species
GCCGGAAUGGUGGUGCAUUCCUGUAGUCCCAGCUCCUCGGGAGGCUGAGGUGGGAGAAUCACCUGAGCCCAGGAGGUGGAGGUUGCAGUGAGCCAUGAUCAUGCCACUGCACCCUAGCCUGGGCAACAGAGUGAGAUCCUGUCUCAC